AAAACAGCUGAAAGCUACUUACCCUCAGGAUGAGAUCAAGGCAGCUGGUGUGCGGAAUCUGGAGUCUGUGUUUCACAUUCUGCAUCUUCUGCAUCUUUCUUCACCAAACCACAGCAAAAAGAAAACUGAAGUUUGUGUCUGUAGUAAUUCACCAUGGUGAUCAUACCCCACAGGAGUUUUUUCCAACUGACAAGCACAAAGAAAUUGCAAGGCAGCACGGAUACGGACAGCUUACCAAGUUUGGCAUACAGCAACAGUAUGAGCUUGGGCAGUAUAUGCGGAGAAGAUACUCCUAUUUCCUGAGCGUUGUUUACAAACGGUCUGAGAUUUAUGUUCAGAGCACUGACUGUGAUCAAACGCUUAUGAGUGCUCAAGCAACUCUUGCUGGGCUGUAUCCACCAACACAGGGACACAUUUGGAACCCCAGAAUCCUUUGGCAGCCAAUUCCAGUUCACACAGUGCCACUGUCACAUGAUAAUUUGCUGUAUGUACCUUUCUCACACUGCCCAAAAUACAAUGAGCUUCUGAGAGAAACCUUUGCAACAAGAGAUUUCCAAAAGCAGCUCAAGCAGUAUAGGUCUUUUCUCAAGUUUUUAGCCUCUCACACUGGAUACCCACUGAAGAAAUUGAACAGUGAAAGAAUUUUGAGGAUCUCUGACACUUUACAAUAUGAGGAUAUUAACAAUUACACUUUACCUGCUUGGGCUACUCAUGGUGUCAGGACCAAGCUGAUAAAGCUCUCAGAAUUGUUAUUGCAGGCGGAAUUUGGGUUCCACAAACAAAUACAAAAAUCACGUUUGCAGGGAGGUCUUCUUUUAAAAGCUAUCCUAAAGCAUAUGUCAGAUGCUAGAAAGCCUUCACACCAUCAAAAAAUGACUAUAUAUUCUGCGCAUGCAACCACUAUUGUUGCCUUACAGAUGGCACUCCAUGUUUUCAGUGGGAAAUUGCCUCCUUACAGUGCUUGCCAUUUCUUUGAACUCUACCGGGAAAAAAAUGGCAAUACACCAUAGAAAUGUACUAUCGGAAUAAUACUUUGAGAGAUCCCCACCCUCUUACUCUCCCUGGAUGCAGUUUUCGCUGUCCACUGGAGAGAUUUACUCACUUGGUCUCCCCGGUCCUCGUACAACAUUGGACAAGAGAAUGUAAGAUAUAGGACAUAAAAUGAGGUGUUGCCUCCAGGAAAUUCAGCGUGAUUAGCUUUCAAAACAGUUCCUCCCACACUGUGAUGUUACUACAGUCUGAAAUUUCUCAUUAACUUCCAUCAGUAUGAACAACAGUCUCCUGAUCUCUAUCAGGAAAAAAACAUUCAUCAGUACAGCAAAGCAAAAUUACAGAAAGCAGUGACUUACCUUUCCUUAACAGUAGCUUUCUUUUAUAAAGUAUGAACCCCAAAUUGAGUAUUUUUUCUAGGUUUAUUCAUUGCAAAGUGAUCUGACAGUACUAAUUCAAGAAUAUAAUGUAAAUUACAGUGUUUUGAAGGGCUAUAGCCUUAACGUAGAGCAAAACUGGAAAAUACUUCUGAAGGAGUGUUGUUCCCUUUUGAAGACUGGGACAACUUCCAGAACUGGUGAGGGAAGCAGUGCUCCAAAAGAAGCCAGCAAGUGGGGAGUCAUUCCAGUUUCCUCAUACUUUAUAUUAUUCAAGAAAUAAUUAUUUUACACAAACAGAUCUCAGAAGCUACAAAAAUAACAAUAAUGGCUGUUUACUUAGUGAAUACUUGUCCUUCUUUGUGUGCAGGGAGCGGGGUGAGUGGUUUGUUUUUUUUCUUUGUCUAUAUAUACAAAUAUUACACCUGUAUACAGAAGAAAGGUGAGAGUUAUGGACCACGGGGCUACACCUAAAACCAGCCUACAAACAAUCAGUCUGGCUGUCAUAAAGACCUGGCAGGCAAUUUGUUGACCCAACAUGGCUUUCACAUACUGAGUCAUUGUGUCUUUUCCCAAAAAGAUAGCAAGGCUAAGUGUCAACUUUGAAAGAAAAAUCAUUUGUGAUUCCAAAUAGCUUUGCAAACACCUUCCUUUUGUUCUGUUACCUUGAUAAUGUACUCUGCUCUGAUAAUGUAAAGUCUGUGCUU
rnacentral:lncRNA from 7 species